rnacentral:rRNA from 1 species
UACGAAGGGGGCUAGCGUUGUUCGGAUUUACUGGGCGUAAAGCGCACGUAGGCGGGUUGUUAAGUCAGGGGUGAAAUCCUGGAGCUCAACUCCAGAACUGCCUUUGAUACUGGCAACCUAGAGGCUGGAAGAGGUUAGUGGAAUUCCCAGUGUAGAGGUGAAAUUCGUAGAUAUUGGGAAGAACACCCGUGGCGAAGGCGGCUAACUGGUCCAGAUCUGACGCUGAGGUGCGAAAGCGUGGGGAGCAAACAGG